rnacentral:rRNA from 1 species
AAACGACAUCGAAAGCUUGCUUUUGAUGGGCGUCGACCGGCGCACGGGUGAGUAACGCGUAUCCAACCUGCCCACCACUUGGGGAUAACCUUGCGAAAGUAAGACUAAUACCCAAUGACGUCUCUAGAAGACAUCUGAAAGAGAUUAAAGAUUUAUCGGUGAUGGAUGGGGAUGCGUCUGAUUAGCUUGUUGGCGGGGUAACGGCCCACCAAGGCUACGAUCAGUAGGGGUUCUGAGAGGAAGGUCCCCCACAUUGGAACUGAGACACAGUCCAAACUCCUACGGGAGGCAGCAGUGAGGAAUAUUGGUCAAUGGACGAGAGUCUGAACCAGCCAAGUAGCGUGCAGGAUGACGGCCCUAUGGGUUGUAAACUGCUUUUAUAAGGGAAUAAAGUGAGUCUCGUGAGACUUUUUGCAUGUACCUUAUGAAUAAGGACCGGCUAAUUCCGUGCCAGCAGCCGCGGUAAUACGGAAGGUCCGGGCGUUAUCCGGAUUUAUUGGGUUUAAAGGGAGCGUAGGCCGGAGAUUAAGCGUGUUGUGAAAUGUAGAUGCUCAACAUCUGCACUGCAGCGCGAACUGGUUUCCUUGAGUACGCACAAAGUGGGCGGAAUUCGUGGUGUAGCGGUGAAAUGCUUAGAUAUCACGAAGAACUCCGAUUGCGAAGGCAGCUCACUGGAGCGCAACUGACGCUGAAGCUCGAAAGUGCGGGUAUCGAACAGGAUUAGAUACCCUGGUAGUCCGCACGGUAAACGAUGGAUGCCCGCUGUUGGUCUGAAUAGGUCAGCGGCCAAGCGAAAGCAUUAAGCAUCCCACCUGGGGAGUACGCCGGCAACGGUGCAACUCAAAUGA